ensembl:lncRNA
ACCGCCCUCGAUCUCAUGUAAAAUAUUACUGAGAUUUUCCAACUGUUUCAUUGAUUUGUUAAUUAAGUGCACUCGGCUUGGACCCCCUCCCCGAUUCCCGGUCUUGGGACAGGGAACGGAGCCCUAGGGGCGCUCGCAGAGAUGUUUGCCUGUUCUCUUUCCGAAGCCUGUUUUGAGGAGCAAAAAACAGAAUGUCCAGGAAGGCUCUUUGAAGAUGUCUGUGAGUUUGCCUGAGGACAGCUCCUGGAAGGCAGUGUCCCCGCGACUAGGGCGAGCCCCGGACUCCCCACCAUCCCAGACUCCCCAACACCCAAAAGCGCGGCGCCGCGAGCAGGACCAAGUAAGAAAUACAGCACGACGCGCCUGAAACGCGGAAGUGGCCCGGAGACAACAUGGCGGCGCAGGCGUCAAGUACCCUAACCUCGAGCCGGCGGCCAGGUCACUGAUGUGGGCUGAGUUCAGCUGGACGUGUCCUCAAGCUGAAGACUGGUCCCUGUCUUCUCCAUGUCUCUCACCUUCCUUGGACCAGUGGGUCAGUCAGGGCGUGUUCUUCUCAUGGUGAUUGUUCACAGAAAAAGCGGUCUUGAUCCAGACCCCAAGAGAGGGCUCCUGAAUUAUACGCAGGAAGGAAUUCAAGACAAGUUGCAGGGUGCAGUGAGAGUUUAUUGAAAGCUCCUCCAUUAGAGUAGGGUAUCCUCAGGAAGCAAGCAAAGAAAUGCCCCAUCUUUGUUUUAACUUUUUCUUCCUUCUUUUUGUUUUUUUUUUUUUUUUUUUUUUUUUUUUUGAGAGGGACUCUUGCUCUUUUGCCCAGGCUGGAGUGCAGUGGUGCAAUCUCGGUUUGCAACCUCUGCCUCCUGGGUUCAAGUGAUUCUCCUGCCUCAGCCUCCUGAGUAGCUGGGAUUACAGGCGCCUGCCACCAUGCCCGGCGAAUUUUUGUAGUUUUAGUAGAGACAGGGCUUCGCCAUGUUGGCCAGGCUGGUCUCAAACUCCUGACCCCAGGUGAUCCACCCGCCUCGGCCUCCCAAAGUGCUGGGCCACUGCGCCCCACCUGUUUUAACUUUUUCUUAUAUAGGGGUUUUGUCUAUGUAAAGGCUGUACCUAUGUGCAUGUGGGCUGACAGCAUGACAAAAUUUAUUAUUUUGUUGAUGUAAAGAAAACUGUCUUUGACAUUUUAGUGUGUAAGUAAGCAUAACUAUAAUUAUCUUGAAAGCAUAUAUUGCGAGUAUUGGGACAUCUGGUCGCUCUGUUGUUACAGGAUUGUGUCCUUGCAGGUAUCUUUAGGCUGUUUUCUCGACUGUAAACAUCUUAUGACCAUGGGUCAUGACUGGCAAGGAAUGUGCCUUAGUCUCAAGAUGGAGCUGAACUGAAAAUGGUGUCACUCUGGCCUUCCCAGGCCCCAGCUUCCCUAAUAAUGGCAGAAGCAAAAACACAAGUUCAACUGCACAAACACAUUGUAAACCUUUGCUUGCAUCAGACCUGCCAAUAUCCUAUGGCCAAAGUAAAUGCACAUGGCUAAGCCCAGCAGAAAUGAAGCAGGGAAGUAUAUUCCUUCUGUAUGGGAGAGGGGAGUGUGAAAAGAAAAUAUUUUGGACCCCGAAAAUAUUUUCCUUUUUAUGAAGGAAAACUCAAGCUGGAAACUGCUUAAGGCAAACCUGCCUCUCAUUCUAUUCGAAGUUAUCCCUCUGCUCACUGAGAUAUAUGCACAUCUUACUUGCCUGCUUUGGAAACGGUAAUCAGAGACUCAAAAGAAUGCAACCGUUUGUGUCUCACUUAUCUGUGACCUGGAAUACCCCUCCGUGCUUCGAGUAUUCCUGCCUUUGCUUCAAAUUCUCCUGCCUUUCCAGACCUAACCAAUGUAAUUCUUCUAUUGAUUGAUGUCUCAUGUCUCCCUAAAAUGUAUAAAAGCAAGCUGUGCCCCACCACCUUGGGCACAUGUCAUCAGGACUUCCUGAGGCUGUGUCAUGGAUGCACCCUUAACCUUGGCAAAAUAAACUUUC